AAAAGGAGCCACGGCUGAAUGUAGAUAUAAAAUGGAAGCUAAUUAAGGUUUUGCCAUGAUAAGUCACAACGGCAGAUCAGAUCAUCAAUUGCUAUCAUUAAGAGACAAUGAAAAGACCACUAGGAAGUCAGAGGACCUGGAUUCAAAUCUUAUUAAUGCUAAAUGUUUCUGGCCAAGAAGUUUACUUGUGACACUUGGGGCCACAAAUAAAGUACAACCAGAUAACUGAGAAACUGGGACAGGGUAGAUAUGUGUAAACAGCUGUGUGGCACCCCAAGUCUAAAGGAGAGAGCCCAGCACCUAUCUGGGGCCAGUUGUGUCCCCUCUCAGAAGUCAAUUGGGGCAAACACCAAGGCUGGUGAACCACAAAGUGUCCAAUGUGGGAGGAAACAGAUGGCUUGAAGUCUACCCCCAGGGAAAGGGAAAGAGUCAGGAAGUGAGCAAAAGGGAGAGAAGGGGCUCAAAAGAGCAGAUAAACCAAGGGGGUUCCAGAUUGGGUAAAAAAGUCCAGACAAAUAGGAGUAAAUAUUGCAAGACAAAAAAAAAAUGAAAUGGACACUUAGGUGGAGGAUCCUGUGGAUGCCCAAAGCAGAGUAGUGAAUGAGUAUUUCAGACCUACCUUCUGUGACUAGCCAGGCCUUUAUAAUCUCCACUGAUCCUGUGUUAACCAGGGAGGACCAGGGACUUGCCAUCUGUCCAGUCACCUUUCUCCCUUUACACCAAGCCCUCCAUCCGAGAUCAAAAACCCACCUGUGACUCCCACUCUGACAAAGACGAUGAUCAACAAUGGAGGGAGCCUCAGCACAGAAGGGACCUGGUGACUCCGACACUUUGACCACUAGACGGAACCAAAGCCUUGCCUCUGCUUUCCCCUAACUUCCUCCUCUUGCUCAGAGAAUCAUCUUCAAAUAAGAAAGCACAGAUUGAAAAUAGUGAAAAAAUGGCAGUGAAGAGAUGGUGGGAGAGAGCCUGUCUUCAAGUUGCCUGAUUUCUACAGCUUUCUAAAAGAGGAAUGAGCUGAAUACCCAGGCAUUCCAGAUGUGCAUCCUUCAGCAUAUAGCAUGCACCGAAGUCUCAACAAAUAGAAAAUUAUCUCACCAGAAGAUUUGGACCGUA